rnacentral:rRNA from 1 species
GACGAACCGUGCGAACGUUAUUCGGAAUCACUGGGCUUAAAGCGCGUGUAGGCGGCCCGGCGCGUCGGAUGCUGAAAUCCCCCGGCUCAACCGGGGAAGGGGCGCCGAUACGGCCGGGCUGGAGGGGGGUAGGGGGCGCUGGAACUCACGGUGGAGCGGUGAAAUGCGUAGAUAUGCGGAGGAACACCGAUGGCGAAGGCAGCUCGCUGGGACGUUACUGACGCUGAGACGCGAAAGCGUGGGGAGCAAACAGG